CAACUACUCCAUCUGUCCCAAAUUUCUUGUCUUAGAUUUGUCUAGAUACAGGUGUAUCUAAUACUAAAAUGUGACUUGAUACAUCUGUAUCUAGACAAAUCUAAGACAAGAAUUUUGGGACGGAAGGAGUACUUU
rnacentral:pre_miRNA from 1 species